UCCCUACGGGGGGCUGCAGUGGGGAAUAUUGCACAAUGGGCGCAAGCCUGAUGCAGCGACGCCGCGUGGGGGAUGACGGCCUUCGGGUUGUAAACUCCUUUCGCUAGGGACGAAGCGUUUUGUGACGGUACCUGGAGAAGAAGCACCGGCUAACUACGUGCCAGCAGCCGCGGUAAUACGUAGGGUGCGAGCGUUGUCCGGAAUUACUGGGCGUAAAGAGCUCGUAGGUGGUUGGGCGGGUCGUUUGUGUCAGCCCGCAGCUUAACUGCUGGACUGCAGGCGAUACGGGCAUAACUUGAGUGCUGUAGGGGAGACUGGAAUUCCUGGUGUAGCGGUGGAAUGCGCAGAUAUCAGGAGGAACACCGAUGGCGAAGGCAGGUCUCUGGGCAGUAACUGACGCUGAGGAGCGAAAGCAUGGGUAGCGAACAGGAUUAGAUACCCCAGUAGUC
rnacentral:rRNA from 1 species